UACGUAGGGGGCGAGCGUUGUCCGGAAUCAUUGGGCGUAAAGCGCGUGUAGGCGGCCCGGUAAGUCCGCUGUGAAAGUCCAGGGCUCAACCCUGGGAUGCCGGUGGAUACUGUCGGGCUCGAGUCCGGAAGAGGCGAGUGGAAUUCCUGGUGUAGCGGUGAAAUGCGCAGAUAUCAGGAGGAACACCGGUGGCGAAGGCGGCAUUCUGGACUAUUUCUGACACUGAUGAACGAAAGCCAGGGGAGCAAACGGG
rnacentral:rRNA from 1 species